CGCGGAGUGGAGCAGUUGGUAGCUCGUCGGGCUCAUAACCCGAAGGUCGUAGGUUCAAGUCCUACCUCCGCAA
rfam:Clostridium acetireducens DSM 10703 CLAC_contig000010, whole genome shotgun sequence.